AAACAGCAGCUUUGUGAUGACCCGAAUACUGACGGAUUGUUUCACCACUCGAUAACUCCCAAAGCCUUGCAACAUGAUCAGAAGAUGCGGUUACUAAGUAGGUAGAAUCAGCAGAAAACGCACAAUCCCAAACCCAUCUUUGAUGCCCUUGAAGUCGUCUCUCAAGCAUAAAUGACAUAUCCUCCGUACUCCAUAUAUUCACUGUAGCAUCGGCAGAACAUGUAGCAAGGUGUUUGACAUCAGGAGACAAGACGCAGCGAGUGAUAUAACGCUGAUGAGCUUGAAAUUUGACAACGGGCUGAAGCAAUGAAGCACCCUGAUGAUUUAGCAUUCGCCAAACGUAGCAGUUUCCUUUGUUGUUCCCAGCAAUAAGCAUACUACCAUCAGAUCCAACAGUAAUGCUGCUCAUAGGUACAUCUUCUUCCGGAAUAAGUUCGUGUGUACAAGAAUUCUCUCCUAAAUCCCAUGCACGAACUCGUCCACUUUGGUCGCAUGAAAGCAGUUCACCUUGAUUUGGAUGAAUUAACAAGUCAUUAACAGGAGAUUUAUGAUCAUAGUUUCGCUGAACUGAAGGGGCUCUCAUAUCCCACACCUUUACUGUUCCAUCCUCGCUCGAUGUGGCAAGCCAUUUACCAUCACAAUGAAAAGCGAUGGCUGUAACAUUAUUGGUGUGCCCUUCAAAGGUCAUUAAUGGCAUUUGACUACUAGUGUUUAUGUCGUACAAUCUUACAUGAGGAUUUCCGGCGGCUGCUAGAAACUUCUUAUCAGGUGAAAUACAUAAACGAUUUACCUGAGAGUCCGCAUGUUGUAUUGUUCUCGAGCAUAUUCCACUUAGGGCUUCCCAAAAUCUAAUGGUAUGGUCAUAUCCACUGCUGACGAGCAGAACAGAAUGUUGUGGUGGAUACUGUACUGACAUGUGGUUAAAGAAUGGAGCGCUGUUAUACUGUAGUUAUUAAACAAACUCGAAUACAGAGAGAAUUAAUGACUGAAAAUUUUUAAAAUCAAUU